rnacentral:lncRNA from 1 species
GUUGGUUCUCUUAUCCAUGCAAACAAAACAAGCAUAUUAAUUAUCAAAAAAUCUCUUGAAUCAAUCGCUGCAAAUCCCUGUGCCUCUGCCCACACCACAACUACGAUCGCAAAACUAAACGAAUUAGUAUAAAAAUAAUACCACAGAAACACAGACCAAAAUGGCUUAGAAGUGCUCCCUAAUUAAUUAAUUAAGAAAUUAAUUAGAGUAAAACAAUAGAUUAACUCUCUCUCCCUCCCCCACACCACUAGGCCUCCUUGAUAAAUUCUUGUGGUGUC